rnacentral:rRNA from 1 species
GAGAGUUUGAUCCUGGCUCAGGACGAACGCUGGCGGCGUGCCUAACACAUGCAAGUCGAGCGAGGAGAUUCCCUUCGGGGAUGAACCUAGCGGCGGACGGGUGAGUAACACGUGGGCAACCUGCCUUAUAGAGGGGAAUAGCCUUCCGAAAGGAAGAUUAAUACCGCAUAACAUUACAUUUUCGCAUGAAGAAGUAAUUAAAGGAGUAAUCCGCUAUAAGAUGGGCCCGCGGCGCAUUAGCUAGUUGGUGAGGUAACGGCUCACCAAGGCGACGAUGCGUAGCCGACCUGAGAGGGUGAUCGGCCACAUUGGGACUGAGACACGGCCCAGACUCCUACGGGAGGCAGCAGUGGGGAAUAUUGCACAAUGGGGGAAACCCUGAUGCAGCAACGCCGCGUGAGUGAUGAAGGUCUUCGGAUCGUAAAGCUCUGUCUUCAGGGACGAUAAUGACGGUACCUGAGGAGGAAGCCACGGCUAACUACGUGCC